CUACGGGUCGCACCAGUGGGGAAUAUUGGACAAUGGGGGAAACCCUGAUCCAGCAAUGCCGCGUGUGUGAAGAAGGCCUGCGGGUUGUAAAGCACUUUCGGUUGGGAGGACUGCUUCUAGCACUAAUAUUGUUGGAAGUUGACGUUACCUUCAGAAGAAGCACCGGCUAACUCCGUGCCAGCAGCCGCGGUAAUACGGGGGGUGCAAGCGUUAAUCGGAAUUACUGGGCGUAAAGCGCGCGUAGGCGGCUAGAUCAGUCGGGUGUGAAAGCCCCGGGCUUAACCUGGGAACUGCAUCCGAUACUGUCUAGCUUGAGUACAGGAGAGGAGAGUGGAAUUCCACAUGUAGCGGUGAAAUGCGUAGAUAUGUGGAGGAACACCAAUGGCGAAGGCAGCUCCCUGGCCUGAUACUGACGCUGAGGUGCGAAAGCGUGGGGAGCAAUCAGGAUUAGAUACCCUCGUAGUC
rnacentral:rRNA from 1 species